rnacentral:lncRNA from 1 species
CAUGGAUCCUCGAUCUUCUGUGGCACACUUACCUUAUUUUCCUAUGAUCAUCAAACUUGAUCGAAGCAACUACGCAUUUUGGCGUUCACAAGCAAUUUCCACUAUUCAUGCUCAUGGUUUCGAUCAUUUCAUCUCCACCAUCGCUGCGUCUCCACUAUUCCUCAGAUACUACUCCAUCUCCACAUAUCUCAUUAGCCUCAUCUUCCUCAGACACUACUCCAUCUCCACCACCUCUUCAAAAUGCCCACUCCAUGAUUACUCGUGCCAAAUAUGGGAUUUUUAAACCCAAAAGUCACUUAGCUCAGGUAUUUUAUGUCUCUGUGAAUAGUGAGCAUGACUCUACAGAUCUAGUUGUGCAGGAUUUUGAGGCACACCUCAGUACUGCUUCUGGCUCUUUUGUGAAAGAGAUGAAUUAUCUUCCUUCUUUGCCUCUAACUACU